AGGCUUCGUGGCGGCGGCGGCGGCGGCGGCGGCGGCGGCGGCGGCAGCGGCCUCACCCAGCUCGUGGGCUCGGGCCGCGGCUCAGGCGUCACGCAUAGCGUGGGCACCCACGCCCUCGCCACCCGACGAGGAUCUCGGGCUCCGCGACUUGUGGGAGUGCUGCGGGGCGUCCCGCACUUCCGCCCUCUCUCGCCUCCGGCUCCCCAGUCGCCGCCCCGCUCGCCGAGUGUGCGCGCAUUCGGGCCUCGCCUCGGAGCCGGGAGGCUGUCCUGUCCCCAGGCCCCUCGCGCGGCUGCUCUUCCAGGCAUUGCGGUGCUAGCCCCCUCUCCCGCGCACGACUGGGGAGGGCAGAGGUGUGAGGGAUGCGGGGGUGGCUCGCAGCCGUUCGCGGGCAGGCGGGCGGAGCGCGGGAAGCGCGGUGCGGGCGUUGCAUGGCGCACCCAGACGCUCUCCCUCCUCCGCAGGUGCAGCGGGGCGUUGCGCGAGCUCGAGUCCCCCUUCCCGGACAGCUAGGGAGAAGGGAGUUUGCAGACCGGAGCUACAGUUGGAAGAAUAUAGUUUUUGAGAAGUUACUGGAAGUUAGAUGUGAGACAAAAACAGACGAACUUUCCUUCAAAGCCUUAUGACGAAAUGAUAGGCCUUGCCAUACCCUUGAAAUGAAACUGAGCUCCCUACCGGCCUAAAGCCUCUGUUCCUGAGCUUCAUGUAAACAAGGAGGGCGGUAAACACCAGAGGAAGGCCUUACAACAAUACCAAGUGCAAGUAGCUCAUUUGAGUGUUAUUUACCUUAGCAGCUUCCCUGAGUGAUUUAUGUUUAUUGCAGUUUAACUUUACAGGGUGGGAAUAAAAUAAUUUGGCUUCUCAGAUCGCUGGCGGAAGAAACUAGAGCUGAGCUGGGACGAGGGCAAGAAGCGCGUCGGACCUUUCCUGGCAGCUGAACAGUGUGAUGAACAGUCUGGAAGGGUUAUGUUAUUACUUAAGGGGUUUGGGGAAACCGUUCCCGCGCACAGACCCUCAUUCGGGCCAACUGCAGGCCGUGGGGGACUCUUCAAGGACUCGCGCACCCCGAGCCGAGCUUCCUGGCUGGGCACUGGGCUCAGCCAGUGCUGAGAGCGCUUUCGCUGGGCCAGUCAAGACAGCAAUAAGUUUGCCUCUAUUUGGGAAACCUUUCCAGGCUUACCUGCCCUCUUUUAAGAGGCAGACUUUAGGUGGUGGGAUCGUCAGCUGCCAAUGUGUGCACUCGUUCUAAAGAAGGCGAGAGGAAGUAAAGCGAACCUGUGCAGUGUUUGCUGGGCUUCCAAAACGCGGAGCUUAGUCGACCCCCCAGCGAACCGGACGGCGCUUUGGUCCCCUCACACCUAACGGUACUCAGAGCCUGGUGCGGGAGCUGGCGCGCUCUCUCCUGGUUUCCUUCCAAUUUAGGCAAAGGGCCUGGCCGCCCGUCUUCCUGCUUCUGCUGUGCCCUGCCACAGCACUCCUAAGACGGCGAAUUCGUUUCUGCGCCAAUUUUGUUUUGAAUAUCUACAAACCACUUUUCCUUGCAUGAAGAAAACAAGGCAGGGCCCCCUGGCCUGUCCCACACCUGCGAGAGGCAGAGAUACAGAGGCCUCGGGCCUCAGCCUUCAUUUCCCCGCCCUAGCUUCGCGCCAAGCUGCAGUGUCCCCGACACACUGUCAGGACACGCGCUUUUCGCCCCUACUUUGUUCUUGCGCAGUCUUCCCAGCUGCGGAGAGGAGGGAGCGAAAGCAAAACGAAAGCACCCGGGGCGCAUCAGUCGCAAUAGCUUCCCUGAGCGCGGCCGUGGGAGGCCAAGAUCUGAGGUCGCGAGGCGAAGGUGGGGGCCCGAGCUGCGCAGAAACUGGGUGGGGGCGGUCCCUGGAGGGCGCCCGGGAGCUGCUAGAAGUUGUCCGGAGCCCCUCAUCCCCCUGGGAAAAGCGAACGCGGAUGUUAAUAUACCAACUCCGCAGGGAACUUUUGGCCCGGGUCUUGAGCUGAAAUUCCAGACUGAAUGGGACCGUGCUGAAAGUUCGACGAGGCAAAGGAGUGUGGCGCGGGGGCAAGCUUUGACCCCCGGCUUCGUAUCCUCGGGAGAGGCCCGGACUCCGACUCGCCCAGCGAGGGUGCGCAGAGGCCUCCUGGGAUUCUAGGCCCACAGAAUUUUUGCUCCAGUGAAGUUGGAUAAACACCCCGCCUCCCCGCAAAAACCAGAGUUCUCGGCUUAUAAACACUUCAAUAAACUCUGGUGACAUCCUCCGCGCUCGCUCCUUGCCCUCGCGGCAGUCACUGCAGGGACAAAGGCGGCCUGCGCAGACUUGGAAGAGGCGCGGCCCGCGUGGGCGGCUUUACCGGCCAAAGACGUUGUCAGUUAAGGGGAGGCAUCUUCAGAGCUGAGGGUAACUCCCCACAGCCACCCCGCAGGUAGGGCAGCCAACCCCAAUCUGGUCAGCUUAAAAGUGUCCUCGGUUUCGCCCCCUUUCCCAGCGAACCAACACUGGCAGAUUGGCCUGCGAGCCGCUCGCUCUGUUGCUCUAGCACGUUUAUGUAGCCAAACGGUCGAAGAGCCCCAUCUUUAAGCCCAAUAAACACUUAACUUUAUUCUAUUUAAUAACACAUUUUGUUGUGGCAAUAUUUGUGGAUUUUGGCAGGUAUUAAAAUCUGGUGAUCCUAAAUG
rnacentral:sRNA from 1 species